CAGGGAAUAUUGCACAAUGGGCGAAAGCCUGAUGCAGCGACACCGCGUGCGGGAUGAAGGCCUUCGGGUUGUAAACCGCUUUCAGGAGGGACGAAAAUGACGGUACCUCCAGAAGAAGCCCCGGCCAACUACGUGCCAGCAGCCGCGGUAACACGUAGGGGGCGAACGUUGUCCGGAUUUAUUGGGCGUAAAGGGCUCGUAGGCGGUUCAGCAAGUCGGCCGUGAAAACCCGGGGCCCAACCCCGGGACGCCGGUCGAAACUGCUGUGACUAGGGUCCGGUAGAGGUCACUGGAAUUCUCGGUGUAGCGGUGAAAUGCGCAGAUAUCGAGAGGAACACCAGUAGCGAAGGCGGGUGACUGGGCCGGUACCGACGCUGAGGAGCGAAAGCGUGGGGAGCAAACAGGAUUAGAUACCCCCGUAGUCC
rnacentral:rRNA from 1 species